rnacentral:rRNA from 1 species
GACAGAGGGUGCGAACGUUGUUCGGAAUUACUGGGCGUAAAGCGUGCGUAGGUGGUUUGUUAAGUCUGUUGUGAAAGCCCCGGGCUCAACCUGGGAAUGGCAAUGGAUACUGGCAAGCUAGAGUGCGGUAGAGGGUAGUGGAAUUCCCGGUGUAGCGGUGAAAUGCGUAGAGAUCGGGAGGAACACCAGUGGCGAAGGCGGCUACCUGGACCAGCACUGACACUGAGGCACGAAAGCGUGGGGAGCAAACAGG